rnacentral:lncRNA from 1 species
UGCUUAUGGGUCUGGGCAGCAUCCUUGUUCUCAAGCAGUAAGAGGAUUCCAAAGGGCAUUUUAGGUGUUAUUCAGCAGGCACUUUCAGGGAUUUGACUUCUUUCUGGUUUGGUCUUGGGACAGUGUAUGUGUCCAGGAAUUUCUCCAUUUCUUCUAGAUUUUCUAGUUUAUUUGCAUAGAGGUGUUUAUAGUAUUCUGUGAUAGUAGUUUGUAUUUCUGUGGGAUCACUGGUGAUCUCCCCUUUAUCAUUUUUAUUGUCUGUUUGAUUCUUCUCUCUUUUCUUCUUUAUUUGUCUGGGUAGCGUUCUAUCUAUUUUGUUAGUCUUCAAAACACCAGCUCCUGGAUUCAUUGAUGUUUUGACGGGUUUUUCGUGUC